GUUAUGUGGAUGUAGUCUCUCUUUUUCUCUCUCAUAGUAUCUUAUUGUAGAUGUGUGACAUCAUAAAAUGCUUCUGUGAUGAGAUGCAGUGAGGUGAAUGACAGGCACUGUGACGUAGCGUCAGGCUACUGCUGAUCUGACAAUAUGUCAGAAGGAAGAUCAUUUGGUUUCCACCAUGCAGUUGACCGCGGGUAACUGAAACCAUGAAAAACAAAACCCCAGAUAGGGAGACUACUGUAUAUACUGAACCUAGGUUGUCAAUGCCAACACUAUCAAGCAAGUUGAUGAAGGUGUAUUGUUUCCCACAUUUGAGAACUUGGAUUUGUUCUACUUGUAGCCAGAGAAGAUGGGUGACUGACAUCAUGGUCUAGUUUUGCAGGAUAAUGAGUAGAGCUGAUUGUCCUCAAAAUGCAUAGCCUGUGAUCCCACGUGGGUGCUACAUGAAUGCCAUGUUCCUUUGCAAAUAGGCAUUUCAUCCAUCUUUGGAAGUAUAUUUCUUGGGGAGUCCAUGGUCUCCUUCUUACUAGAUCUCUCUCAUCAAUGACUAUAACGAAGCAUUUCUAAUAAAUUUGGUCCCUGCCCUAUGGACUGUGAUCUCAAUCUCUUAAAAGAAGACCGUGAAUUACACAAGAAGAGAGAAAGCCUGAUAAAUCACUCAGUGAAGGAAAAAUCAGCUGCUUGGAGAACUGGAGAACUUGAGGAUUAUCCAGAGGAUGUAUCUUACUUGGAGGAACUGGAGAAACACAGAUUUUC